CUCAAGUCGCCCCAACUCAAACCGCCCCAAAUUGCACCAAACGUGAGUUCCAAUAUAUUUAUGAUGUUAUUCAGUUUAUAACAUUUACUUCUUAUUAUGUUGUUUUCAGACUUGUUUAAUUCCAGUUGUCCCCCUGCUGUGCUUCCUGAUGUAGCAUGCAUCUCCCUCAGCCUCAUGUGUAAAUGUACACAGUCCUCAAACACUUAUUAUGAAAUGACAGAAAUGUGUCUUCUUA